rnacentral:lncRNA from 1 species
CUAUGCCAUGUAAAGAUUUUGAAAAUAUACAGAAAGAGAGUUUUCUGCUUUCAAGUCACACUUACGUCACUGGCGAUAUUCCUUGAACUUUUUGCGGCAACAAUGGGAAUGGCAUCUGGUCUCAAAUCAUAGCCCUUGGCAAGGGUUUUCUUCCAGUCCGCCUUAUAAUGAGACUUGGAGAAAGGAAACAGUAGUUUAUUAUUUGGCCGCUCUACUUGGAUAGAUUUCUGUAGUUUCAAGCUUUUGUAGAAUAAGCACGCAAUCCUUUAUUUUCUUACAUUUUUCGUAACGAAGCAAUUUAGACUCCCAGAAAGGAGUGAACAGUCCAUUUAAAACGUUCAGACGUGGGACCGCCCAGAUUCGGUCAAGUCGUUUUAAAGAUUUCAGGGAUCUACCACCUGCCCCCUCCAGGCCGAGGGCAGCGGGCUCGGCGCGCCCCGGGGUCACGGCCUGGGCGACCCGGGCCCCACCCCCCCCCCCCCCCGCGGGUCCCACACUCACGUCACUCAGGUUGAGGGCGUUGACCUUGGCCUGGAUGAAGGGCGGCAGCGCGGGGUCCAGGGUGUACGUGUGCUUCCGCUUCUCCCCCUCCGCCUUGUACUUCAGCUGCAAUCACACGCGCGGGUCAGUCAGGGCGGGAGGCGGCUCCCCGCGCGGCCCCUCACGCGGCCUCUCACGCGGCCCCUCACGCGGCCCGUCGCUCCCCACCGCGCGCCCGGCCGGCGCCCCGGCCCCCGCCCCCGCCCCCCCCUCCCGGCGGGCCUUGCGGCGGGGCGUCCGCGUGAGGGGCCGCACAGGCCGCCUGUGCUCCCGGAGGCCACGCGGACGAGCCCGGACGCCGGAAGCGGCGCUGACCCGCGCGGGGUCCCAAGGGCAAGGCCGACGCCGACGCGAGGAGCCCAACGCGGCCCGCGGCCCAGAGCCCCCGGCGGGAGAGUGGGCGGCGGGGCCCGGAGCCGGCAGCCAAGGUGCAUUUCUCAAAUAUCUUCCUGUAUUGUGAAGCCUAUUAAGACAGAAAAGGAUCACCCCUGAAGUACCAACAUUCCUGGGCCUGUCAUACUCACAUCGCUCUGAAUUUGAUUCAUAUUCCUGGUGUGCUCGAGACUCAUGGCAUCGGGUAGGUACGUGUAAUGGUGUAUGGGCUGUUUGUAGUUGACGUUGGUGACAACAUCCUGGGCCGACUUCGCAGCAGUAAUGCUAACCAUGUCCCUAGGGGUAUGGUAGCUCGUUUUGGUGUUCUCAUAGUUCUUCUUGUAUUCACGAUCCGACUGCAGUUUUGCCACAUUCAUAUAAUGGACCAGCUUGGGAUCAUCCUGAAGGCUUCUAAAACCCACAUGCUUUCCCUUUGACUUCUCAUAAGCUUCCUUGUAUUUAUACUGCGAAGGCAAAAUUUGGUUAGCAAAGUUGAUAACAGUAGGUAUAGCAAGUAUAGUCACACACAAAGGCACUUCGAACAUUGUGACUUUCUGGAAGACUGUACAAGAAAUGCAAACCAUACCUCCCCACUCCCAUGUGCCCCAGAAAGUUCAGAGUGAAAACGGUUAUUUCCAACACUGCUGGGUUACAAAUGGGUAUCACAUGAUAGAUUCAGGACCAGUUUUUUUCUUUGCUAUAAAUCCUACAAAUGCUUUUGCAUGUUGGACUUUACUUAAACCCAUCUGAAUGUUCAUGCUUAAUGCAACAAGACACAUUCCAAAUAUAAGGCAGUACCUCUUGGUUUCCUAGGGAUGUGAAUUUUCCCAAUCCGUUACUACCACCACAGAAUGUUAUCAUACAUCACAGAACAUUAGAAAUUAGUGAGAAAACCUUCCAUUUACUGCUCCCAUUGACUGAGUGAUACGUAUGCAACUGAUGUAGAAGAAACUCCAAAGGACUCUGUAUGCGAGUUCACACAGUUUUUCUUGGGAGUAGGGGGUGGAAACCUUUACUGUGUUGUCUCAGGCUGCUGGAGUAAGGUUAGAACAAACCCCUCUUCUUUCUAGGGGGCAUCAAUUUAGAUACUGCAUAAGCAGGUAGCCUGGCCUUCUCCACCCAUUUCUUGGCAGCCUCUUUCCAAGCUCCUUGCUGAAGCAGCUGCAGAGGAGUUCAGGAACAGGAAGGGUAGGAAUGGCUGGGAGCUUCCCCUGGCAGUAAAAACCUCAGCGCAAAGGCUCUGCGGCCCAAGCUCUCUCGCUGCUGGCACCGGCAAUGGGGUGUAGACGGAGUUGUAUGGUAGGUAACAGGUCAAAAUCUCAAUUUUUAUAGAAGAGAACUCAAAUCCACUUAAAUUCUGCAGAAACUCUGCUUGUGUCAUUUAUGCAGCGAUUUAUAAACAAGAGCUUAGCAGGCAAAAGGGUCUUCGAGACAUUUCUAGGUAUGUUAGAGCCCUGCACGAGGUCUAAAACAAUGAUAAAGUCAUAUUUAGACUUUCACUUUGUCCUUAACCUAGAGAUGUACUCCAUAGUGGUGUGCACAUCUCUGAGGGACGCAUUUUCAGGGACCUCUUUCUAAGGAAAGCUGAGCUCCCCUGUGGUCUGCACACAUGGGUGGCUUCUUUCUUCUCCUUUCCCAAACCGUGAUUGUAGCCCUCAGAAUAGUAGGUGACAGUGAAGUCUACGGGGCAUGCAUGCUGUCUGAGAGUUUUGAUCUUCAAUGAGAAGAAGUGGAAGUGUAUACAUUUCCUAUUACAGAUGAAAUGGGCAUUGAUUUACAUAAAUGAAAAUUAAAUUCAAGAAAAAUGGACCUUUACCCAUUUGGUUUACAAAAUCCUUACAUUAUGAACAUCUUUUCAAUCUUCUUAAUACAAUUAUUAUGCAGGCAGUCAUUUGAAUUUAAUGUGUUAGUGUCAGGUAGGGUGUUCUCACUGAAAAAUAAAUGUAGGCUGUCAAGGAAAUGUGUCAGUAGAGGUAAUUUGGCCUAUGAAUCAGGGGAGAAGUGGUUGUCAGAUUUAUGACAGCUCUACCAAGUGGGGUCAACGGAAAAGAAUCAAGGAAUUUUGAAAAAAUGACAGCUUUUCAAAACAGUAUCUUGUGGAGAAUUUCAACGUCAUUACCUCGACAUAUUGUUUUCAAUGUGGCAUCAUUUAGACAAGCACACAUUUGAUUAGUUUUUAAAAAGGCAAUGCACCCACAUUUCACCUAAAAUUUUUACUCACAUCACUGGCAAUGUUUCUGGAUGCUUUGGCCGCAGUGAUGGGAAUCGCGUCACCCAGCACAUUGUUGCCCUUGGCUAUUAAAUCAUGCCAGUCCCGUUUGUAGCAGACCUGGGAUAUGAAGGAAAGAAGGAGGUCAGCAUGCUGUGCAUGGAUCAGCUGAAGUGAGUCCCCAAUUGCUGGGACUGUUUUGUUCAUUUCCAGAUAGAAGCUAAAGGAAUCUCCUACAGUACAUUCUGUUUUGGGAAGUCACAUUAGCAAAAUGUCACACCUUGUGUAGCAUGAAAUUACAGGAUGCUGCACCAAUUAUACACCCAAACCUGGUUUGGGUACAGAGCAAAGCAGGAUGCGGAGAAACUGGAGUGGAUCUAGAAGAGAGGAAUAAAUGUUCUUUCUGGAAACCUUGGUGUGUGAGGACCAACUAGAGAAAAUGAAGUUGUCCACUCUUACGGAAGGAAGGUCAAGGGAAGACCUGGUGGUUAGCUUUAGAAAUUUCAGGUUUGCUGUAAUAAAAGGAUUUCAUUCAUUCUUAUUUUUCUGCAGGAUAAUAACUCUCUCCACUUGCAAAAUGAGGAAAACUAACUCGAAGUUUUAGAGGAACAGAUGUUGGGCUCCAUGCAAGGGAAAAUGUCACAUCCUUUUGGAAUUAUACUGCCCUUGAAGAGGCCAACUUAAGAGGCAGAGAGCCAUCGUCAUGAGAUAGGCUCCAUCCAGUAUGUGUGUGGGAAACUGACCUAAAUAGUUAUCAAGGCCCCAUCCUACUCAGAUUCUAUUACUUUACCACCUUGUCUGGGUUUCACACCCCAUUGAAAACCCUACUUACGUCACUUAUAUUGUAAGCAUUGCACUUGGCCUGGAGAAACUGAGGGAGAUCAGGACUCAUAGUGUAUUUAUGUUUCACAUCUUCUCCUUUAGCUUUGUAUAAGAUCUGCAAUACACAAUCACAAAAAUAACAUGUAUCACAGACAGUACAAAAAAAGAAAAUGUUUGAAUUGCACACUUAAUGGAGUUACUCCCAGCACAGUCCCUCUACUACUUCUAUUGUUAAAAAUCAAAAGUAUUUCCCUAUUUUUAAAAACUCAAGCAUUUUGUCAUUUUUAGAAAGACAUAAAAACUCUGUGUAUUAAAAUAGAAAAGUAGAAAACAGUGAUCUUUGACUGCUAGAAAUGAAUGGAAAAUCAUUUCAAAUGUGAAACCCUAACUUGAAUAAACAGAAUUUACCAAAGUCAGAAAAGUCCAAUCUUUACUAGUGGAGUAAACAGGUCUUGUUUUUUAGUUUUGGGUUUUUGUUUCUUAGAAAAUGGCAUUUAGAAGGAGUCUUUCACUUCUGCUAAAAAAAAAAAAAAAAAAAAAAACCUUUCCAAUUACAAUUGUAACACUAAAACCAUAUAAUAAUCUCCUCAUGCUAUGAGGGCACUUCUACAUUACCCAGUGUACUUUAGAGGUUUACCAUUUCAUAUUUACCCUAUCUUAUCCUUUUUACAGAUGUCAGAAAGGCAGCUAGGUGCAGGAUAUAGAACUUAGAUUGUGUCCUCCUCUUGGUAAUAGAAAAGAAAUUGCUUGAUUUCUAAAAAUCUAAAAUACAACUGGAAUCACUAGAUUUUCAAUCUCUUGACUGUCAUUUAUCACAUAAACUCUCAAGCAGAUAUCACAUGUAAACUGCCAUCUAUGUAUCACAAAGUCUAAAGAGGCUGAUAUCUAUUUGAAUUCUCAAAUCCUAAAUAACUUCUUCUAGGCAUCCAAGAGGUAACUUUACUUCCUCACUGCCUUUAGAAACCAUAGCUAGGCAUUCACAGAGUCUCACUGAUUCUGUCCUCUACACAUCUCCUCUGCCAUUGCUAGUGCUUUAGUUGAAGUCCAAAGGAGUCUUUUGCUAGGUUUCUGUAAAGCGCUUUUAAUCUAUCUUCUUACCUCCAGUCUCUCCCCUAACCAAUGCCAUCUCAGCGCUCUUUGUCAGAGCUGUCUUUUAGAACACAUAUCUGAUAACCAACUCCAUGGAUUAAGAUCUUCAAUACCUCCAAUUACCUACCCCACAAUAUCCAGAGUAUAAGCACGCAAGAUCCUCAAUUAUCAGAUAAUAAUCCCAAACCCUUCACCAUCCUUCCAGUUCAUUAGCUCUUGUUGGUCAUUAUGUUUUUUUCUUUCACCAAGAAUGUACCCUCUUCCCUUAUUUGCCAGGGAAGCCUUUGUGGGGGGUUACCCUCUUCUCUUGCACUUGGCACAUACCUCUCCUGUAGCAUUCACCUCUUGGUGUGGCAAUGCUCUGGUUCUAUCCAUGCUUUUGUCUUACACUCUUAUAUCCUUGUUAUAUCCUAUAUCUCACUACUCAUCUAUGGUGUCUUUAUAGCAUCAGCGUAUAAUACAAUGCCCAGCACAGGGAAGGAGUUCAAAAACAUUCAUUCAAUGAAUUAAUAAAUAAAUGCUUUCCAUGUCCCUUUAAUUCUUCUAUACACUAAGCUUCCCUUUAGGUCUGACUUUAGCCAGGUCAUACACAUUGUUCAUGGACAGCCGGGCAAACAACAUACUAAUCUCCAAGAUGUAAGUUUUCAAAAGCCUCUAUAAUAUUUGUGUAUGAUGAAUUCUGAGAAGCAAAACCAUAUACUCAUGUGAAUUAUUUCCCUGUACUAGUAUUUUAUAUAUGAACAGCAAAUAUAUGCAACUUAAUAUGGACUUGAAGGUGAUAAGUUUGUUAAAGUGUCUGGAAUUUAAAUUUUGCGUGUGUAUAUACAGGU